rnacentral:rRNA from 1 species
AGUGAACGCUGGCGGCAGGCCUAACACAUGCAAGUCGAACGGCAGCACAGUAAGAGCUUGCUCUUACGGGUGGCGAGUGGCGGACGGGUGAGGAAUACACCGGAAUCUACUCUUUCGUGGGGGAUAACGUAGGGAAACUUACGCUAAUACCGCAUACGACGUACGGGUGAAAGCAGGGGAUCUUCGGACCUUGCGCGAUUGAAUGAGCCGAUGUCGGAUUAGCUAGUUGGCGGGGUAAAGGCCCACCAAGGCGACGAUCCGUAGCUGGUCUGAGUGGAUGAUCGGCCACACUGGAACUGGGACACGGUCCAGACUCCUACGGGAGGCAGCAGUGGGGAAUAUUGGACAAUGGGCGCAAGCCUGAUCCAGCCAUACCGCGUGGGUGAAGAAGGCCUUCGGGUUGUAAAGCCCUUUUGUUGGGAGAGAAAAGCAGCAGGUUAAUACCCCGCUGUUCUGACGGUACCCAGAGAAUAAGCACCGGCUAACUUCGUG